rnacentral:lncRNA from 1 species
UUCGCCUUGGUAAUUGUUAUGCUCACAGUGAUAGUGCUGGUAUUGCUGCGGAGGAGGAGGAGGUUGCGGAGGGUACCCCUGAUUGAAAUACCCUUGGUACCCCUCGUACGGCGGACCACGCGGGGGCGGAGGCGGACCAUAUCCGUGAGGAUACCCAGGUGGUGGUGGUGGUGGAUAGCCUUCGUACGGUGGAGGCGGCGGAGGAGGGUACCCUUCGUACGGUGGCGGUGGUGGCGGAGCUGAUGGGUACCCAGGAGGC